rnacentral:rRNA from 1 species
UACGGAAUGUGCAAACGUUAUUCGGAAUCACUGGGCUUAAAGAGUCCGUAGGCGGCAUGUUAGGUGAGGUGUGAAAUCCCCCGGCUCAACCGAGGAAUUGCGCUUCAAACCGGCGUGCUUGAGGAAGAUAGAGGUGGGCGGAACUGAUGGUGGAGCGGUGAAAUGCGUUGAUAUCAUCAGGAACACCGGAGGCGAAGGCGGCCCACUGGGUCUUUCUGACGCUGAGGAACGAAAGCUAGGGGAGCAAACGGG